rnacentral:rRNA from 1 species
CCUACGGGUGGCAGCAGUAGGGAAUAUUCGACAAUGGACGAAAGUCUGAUCGAGCAACGCCGCGUGAGCGAAGAAGGUUUUCGGAACGUAAAACUCUAUUAGCAGAGAAGAACAAGACCGUACGUGAGUGAGCAGCUCCGGCUAAAUACGUGCCAGCAGCCGCGGUAUUACGUAUGGCGCACGCGUUAUCCGGAUUUAAUGGGGGUAAAGGGAGCGUAGGCGGUUUGUUAAGUCUGAUGUGAAAGACCGCGGCUCAACCCCGGGGGUGCAUUGGAAACUGGGAGGCUGGAGUGCCGAAGAGGAGAGUGAAAUUCCAUGUGUAGCGGUGAAAUGCGUAGAUAUAAGGAGGAACACCAGUGGCGAAGGCGGCCCUCUGGUCGGUGACUGACGCUGAGGCUCGAAAGCGUGGGGAGCAAACAGGAUUAGAUACCCGAGUAGUC